GAUCCUGGCUCAGAAUCAACGCUGGCGGCGCGCCUAACACAUGCAAGUCGCACGAGAAAGGGAGCAAUCCUGAGUACAGUGGCGUACGGGUGAGUAACACGUGGAUGAUCCACCUCUUUGUGGGGAAUAACCUGGGGAAACCCGGGCUAAUACCGCAUAAGCCCGCGAGGGGAAAGCCGCAAGGCGCAGGGAGAGGAGUCCGCGGCCGAUUAGCUAGUUGGUGGGGUAAUGGCCCACCAAGGCGAUGAUCGGUAGCCGGCCUGAGAGGGCACACGGCCACACUGGCACUGCAACACGGGCCAGACUCCUACGGGAGGCAGCAGUGGGGAAUCUUGCACAAUGGGGGCAACCCUGAUGCAGCGACGCCGCGUGAGCGAUGAAGCCUUUCGGGGUGUAAAGCUCUUUCGGCCGGAACGAUAAUGACGGUACCGGCAGAAGAAGCUGCGGCUAACUACGUGCCAGCAGCCGCGGUAAUACGUAGGCAGCAAGCGUUGUUCGGAGUUACUGGGCGUAAAGAGUACGUAGGCGGUGCCGUAAGUCCGGUGUGAAAUCUCCUGGCUCAACUGGGAGGGUGCGCUGGAAACUGCGGUGCUAGAGUGCGGGAGAGGAAAGCGGAAUUCCUGGUGUAGCGGUGAAAUGCGUAGAGAUCAGGAGGAACACCUGUGGUGUAGACGGCUUUCUGGACCGUGA
rnacentral:rRNA from 1 species